UAGCUCAGUUGGUAGAGCAUGGUGUUUGCAACGCCAGGGUUGUGGGUUCGAAUUUCCCAC
rnacentral:tRNA from 1 species